GAUAAACGCUAGCGGCAGGCCUAACACAUGCAAGUCGAGGGGCAUCAGGAAGAAGCUUGCUUUCUUGCUGGCGACCGGCGCACGGGUGAGUAACACGUAUCCAACCUGCCCUUUACUCGGGGAUAGCCUUUCGAAAGAAAGAUUAAUACCCGAUAGUAUAAUGAUUCCGCAUGGUUUCAUUAUUAAAGGAUUCCGGUAAAGGAUGGGGAUGCGUUCCAUUAGGUUGUUGGUGAGGUAACGGCUCACCAAGCCUUCGAUGGAUAGGGGUUCUGAGAGGAAGGUCCCCCACAUUGGAACUGAGACACGGUCCAAACUCCUACGGGAGGCAGCAGUGAGGAAUAUUGGUCAAUGGGCGAGAGCCUGAACCAGCCAAGUAGCGUGAAGGAUGAAGGUCCUACGGAUUGUAAACUUCUUUUAUACGGGAAUAAAGUAUCCUACGUGUAGGAUUUUGUAUGUACCGUAUGAAUAAGCAUCGGCUAACUCCGUG
rnacentral:rRNA from 1 species